rnacentral:siRNA from 1 species
AAGGAUUGCCUCUUGAAUCCCUA